rfam:Schistosoma curassoni strain Dakar, Senegal genome assembly, scaffold: SCTD_scaffold0000935
ACUUAGCUGACGAGUCCCAAAUAGGACAAAACGCGUGUCCUGAAU